CCUAUCUAUUCUAUAUCUAUUAUGUACAGAUAUGUAAAAAAUAUAGCUUUAAUUGGGAAAAUUUGCACUGGAUGAAGCACUUUAAAAUUCUUCUCCCAUGCCCCAGUACUGUCAAGUUUUUGCCUAGAGCAACGUACUGACUUUUUGAGUUCUGCUGGAUCCUGCCUAGAGAAACCGCUUGUCAUUUCAAAGUUGCAUUUAUAUUUCCAUACACUUUUUGAAUAUUUCGUUUUGGAAAGAGUAACUCCACCUGCUUCUUUUUUCCACAUGUGUACAUCAAAGGUGAAGCUGGGAUGUGUCCUCUUUCCUCUUAACCCCCUAGCUCAGGACCUGGUAAAUACAGCAAACGGGGAGUGAGUUUCUCAAAUGCCUGGCUGUGUCUGCCCUGUGGCUGCCCCGAGAUGGGGUGGUGGAAUAGCAAGAGGAGCCUUGCCAGCCUGCAGGACUCAGGUGCUGCUGAGCCCUCCAGUUACCACGACUACAGCGCUUUCCAGCAGGUUUCUAUAAGACAAGGAUGUUUUGGACAUGUUCAAGCCCCCAGAACUGGCUGCACCCCGUGUGCCUUUCUCUCAGUGCAGCAACUUAUGGGCUAAUAAUGGCCCCUGCCAGAGCAUAUUGUGCUGGGCGGUCACGGGUGGCAGAAACUACUGGCCUCUCUUUUGACAACCCACAGGAAACAUUUGCACCUCCAGCACUUUCCGCUCAAAGUGCUCCAUGGUAGCAACACCUGUGUGUGGUGCAGAAGCUGGGGCUACACUGCUUUAUAACUCGUCUUUCUAUCUGACCUCUGGAGUCCAGUGAAAGACCAAAACUUUACUGCUGUCCAUGUUCGCAUGUAGUAAUGGUGGGAGAACUAAAUGACACUGAAAAUUCUGGAAAUGAGGAGAAACAGACUAAAGCCACGGGCACCGGAUGAAUGAAGAGAGAGAAGAGUGCUUUAGAACGCCUCCGUCACCGCCUGUUGCACUGUCCUGAUGCUUGUGCUCCCCUACAAGAGGCAGAUGGAACAAAUCUGGGAUGGCUGGCUCACUGUGAGUGUCUCCCAUGUCCCUACGUCACAGACACCCUGAAUGUCCACCAGUUAGUGUUUUCUUUGUGGCCACGCUCACUGGUUUUGGAUCAGGCUAAUCUUUCCUCAGUGUCCUCCUCUCCCCUAAUUUGUGAGUCUGAGCUGAAAUCCCACUGACAUGAAGGCAAUAGAACAGCAGAGUCUGUGUCUGCAAGGUGCAAAUUAGCAUCGGCUCUGGCUCUGAUGGGGUGGGAGGAAGAAAAUGCUUAGCAUUAACACAGUAGAAUUGGGCUCCAAACCUACAUUGAAUCUUUUUCUCUCUCAGGUCUUUGUGUUCAUUUAGAUGUUCCUUGAGCUGUCAGAUAAAUAACCUUAUGCACUGCAGUGGGGCGGGAAAAUCUAUUCUUGGGUUCCAUACACCCUUUCCCCUCCUUCGGUAGGUGGCCUGCUGUGCACUGGUGACCACCCUAGUGGCCUUGGCAAACCUGGCCGGCACGGCGCUGACCGUCACCAUCCAGAGGGACUGGAUCGUGAGCUGACGGGUGACAACAGAGGCCAGCUGGUUGGUGAGUGGUACCGCCCUGGGUACUGAUCCUCUAAUCAGCUGAGAAGUAGAGAGCUGACAAGGCAAUCAGGGCUCUGAGAGAGGCUGACAACAGCCUUUAAGAAUAUGUUAUUUGGAGUCAAUGAGACCUGGGUUUGAGUCUGAAUUCAGCUAAAAUCAGCUGUGCCUCUUACUAGAUGCAUACUCCAGGGCAAGUUACGUGACUUUCCUCAUCUGUAUAAUGAGGGAAAUAAAGACACACACACACACACACACACACACACAGCUCAGCUUUGGGAAGGAUUCUAUAAGAUAUAGGAUUUGGAAAGCACUUAACACUAUGUCUGCAUGUAGGAAGUGCCUAAAAAAUGAUUGGUACUGUAUUAUCUAAAGAAUAUAUAGGCCAGGCGAGGUGGCUCACGCCUGUAGUAGUCCCAGCUACUCGGGAGGCUGAGGCAAGAGAAGUGC
rnacentral:lncRNA from 1 species